UAACAGGAAACAGCUUGCUGUUUCGCUGACGAGUGGCGGACGGGUGAGUAAUGUCUGGGAAACUGCCUGAUGGAGGGGGAUAACUACUGGAAACGGUAGCUAAUACCGCAUAACGUCGCAAGACCAAAGAGGGGGACCCUCGGGCCUCUUGCCAUCGGAUGUGCCCAGAUGGGAUUAGCUUGUUGGUGGGGUAACUGCUCACCAAGGCGAGAAACCCUAGCUGGUCUGAGAGGACUACCAGCCACACUGGAACUUUGUCCCUGUCCAGAGAGUACGGGAGGCAGUCAAGUCAGCUUGCUGGAACUCGAGCCUU
rnacentral:sRNA from 1 species